GCACCCAUAGCUCAAUGGAUAAAGCGCUGCCCUCCGGAGGCAGAUAUGCAGGUUCGAUUCCUGCUGGGUGCG
rnacentral:tRNA from 1 species